ACGUAUCCGACCACCACUUCUUGCUUCCCAUACUAUGCGCAGGCGCAGCCAAGGAAACUGUCGCAUUGAGAGGUCCCGCUUCUGCCUGGGAGGUUAAGGGAACUCAGGAACCUCAGGUGAACAAAUGAAAUCACAAUGGUCACUGAGUGUCGCCACCGGUUCCCGCAACCCGGGACAACCCUACGCGGAACCCCGCGGCUCCGCCCCGCAUGGGGACGGUAGCCCCGCUCACCAUGGCGCGGAUUCCUAGUUUGCCCCGCUCUCCUCACAGCUCCUAGUUGAUGGUCAAAACUGCUUUCCUCAGAUUCAGCAGGCCUAUGCCCAGUUCUUGAUACUGUGGCAGCUGAGUGCUGUCAAGGUCCCAUCAAGAUAGGGAAAGUGAGGAAGCCAGCCUGCGAAGUGAAAGGAACUUAUUGGGUGAGUGGCACAGCAAUAAACCGAAGCAUUCUCAUAACUCUCUGUUUGGAGCAAUGACACACAGUGGCUGCCAUAUGAUUCUUGUACAACAUUUUGUUCAAAUGGUUGUCAGCCCUUCCCAAUCUCUUCGAUGCUAAAUGUGGCUUGCAAACAAAGCUCAUGAAAAAAAAAUGGACAACUAGGACUAAGGGGGGCAUAUCCAAGGCUGCCUGGAUAAAACUGAUACAGCAUCUGAUACUGGAGUCCAGCUCUACUGAGUUCAGAUCUUGAGGAGGGGUACAGUUGAAGAAGGAAGAAUGGAGACACUCACAGGGAUGUGCUGAUCACACUGUCUUCUCUCAGAGAGGACAUAUUUUAUUUAUAUUUUCAGCACUGAAACAAAUAGGUACAGGAAAGCAUGUGUUGCAUGGGUUUUACAUAACCAAUUUCCAAGAACUUUCAAGAUCACAUUACAAUGUUCUUAAAACUUUCUACCCACAUUCUCCUAACAUGUCCUGCCAACCUGACACUAGUUCUACUUCUAUAAAAAUUAAACAAGGUUCAUC